rnacentral:rRNA from 1 species
GACGAACGCUGGCGGCGUGCUUAACACAUGCAAGUCGAACGGGCUUCUGGGGUUCUGGCUUUUUUGGUUGGGGUUCUUGGGGUUAGUGGCGAACGGGUGAGUAACACGAGAGUAACCCGCCCUUCACUUCUGGAUAACCGCUUGAAAGGGUGGCUAAUACGGGAGGUUUCUGGGUCUGUCGCAUGGCGGGUUCGGGAAAGAUGGCACUGUUUGGUGGUUUUGGUGGGGGAUGGGCUCGCGGCCUAUCAGCUUGUUGGUGGGGUGAUGGCCUGCCAAGGCUUUGACGGGUCGCCGGCCUGAGAGUGUGGGCGGUCACACUGGGACUGAGAUACGGCCCAGACUCCUACGGGAGGCAGCAGUGGAGAAUAUUGCACAAUGGGCGGACGUCUGAUGCAGCGACGUCGCGUGAGGGAUGGAGGCCUUCGGGUUGUGAACCUCUUUCGCCAGUGAGGAAGGCCUUGCUCGUGUGGUGGGGUUGCCGGUAGCUGGGUAAAGUGAAGCGCCGGCUAACUACGUG